GGUCUAUGGUGUCCUGGUAGAGGCUGACAGCUGACAUAACCCGAUAAAUGGGGUCAACGCAGCCAAGUACUGACAUCGACGAAAACCGCGAGCUAACUACACACAGAUGCGAAUUGCAAAUAGGCGGCUAACGCUUUUUGUUGGGUCCGUUUUUUAUCGCGGAUAAAGUAAGGAAAUACAAGAUUUCAAGCGGUAUUCAAGAGGUCAUCCACCGCCAUUACCAGCCAUUGCCAGGAUGGUGUGCGACUUUCUGGCAGAUCAGCAGAACAACCCCGCUCCCAAGGCUACCUCAAGGCCUAUGUUGGAAUGGCGCGGAGAAGAUGGCGAAGCAUCCGC